UCUGCUAUGGAAUAUUUCAGUUCUCUUGGAUUCUCCACUUCCAUGACAGUUAACCCAGCUGACCUUUUACUUGACCUUGCAAACGGAAUCCCACCUGAUUCUCAGAAGGAGACCACGGAACAAGAA